rnacentral:rRNA from 1 species
UACGUAGGGCGCAAGCGUUGUCCGGAAUUAUUGGGCGUAAAGAGCUCGUAGGCGGUUUGUCGCGUCUGCUGUGAAAACCUAAGGCUCAACCUUGGGCUUGCAGUGGGUACGGGCAGACUAGAGUGCGGUAGGGGGUGACUGGAAUUCCUGGUGUAGCGGUGGAAUGCGCAGAUAUCAGGAGGAACACCGAUGGCGAAGGCAGGUCACUGGGCCGCGAAC